rnacentral:rRNA from 1 species
AGCAGCAGCCACGGUAAAACGUAGGUGGCAAGCGUUGUCCGGAAUUAUUGGGCGUAAAGCGCGCGCAGGUGGUUUAAUAAGUCUGAUGUGAAAGCCCACGGCUCAACCGUGGAGGGUCAUUGGAAACUGUUAAACUUGAGUGCAGGAGAGGAGAGUGGAAUUCCACGUGUAGCGGUGAAAUGCGUAGAGAUGUGGAGGAACACCAGUGGCGAAGGCGACUCUCUGGUCUGUAACUGACGCUGAGGGGCGAAAGCGUGGGGAGCGAACAGGAUUAGAUACCCCAGUAGUCCCUGUCUCUUAUAC